AAUUGGUGUGUGUGUGUGUGUGUGUAUAUAUAUAUAUAUAUAUACACACACACACACACACCAAUUUU